AGUGCCGGUUGGGAACCGGCCUGACAAGCCUUUCUUACCAGCACUAGUAUGUAUUCAGGCAGUACUAAUGGAGGGUGGAAUUCAUAUGUUAGCUUCAAGUCAGCUUGGUUAAAACGCAAAACAAAAGGGUGUGGCUUAACUAUAACAAAAAGAAACUCAUCUAAAUAGAAUUUUCAAGCACAAUAGUGUGUGCUUGAUGGAGGGAGGCUAGCUAGCCCAGUGACAAGAGAGUACUCAUACAUGUGAAAAAGAAUUUACCCAGCAUGAGAAAACUUAGCCCAUGUAACCAAUUAGUGUUGUUCCAUGCGCAGUCUACCCCACAGCCACGUUGCGAUGCAUCCUCUCUGCAGGAUCUGAGCGUAAGAACGUUGCCUCACAAGCGCACACGCUCAAUUACGAGUAAAUCACGCUUACACCGUGCCUGCUACAACCACCGCCCGUGUAUCCCUUCGAUUUGGCAUUUUAUCAAACUUGAACCGAAACAACCUCAGCAUGACAGAAACACUUUCCUGCUGC
rnacentral:lncRNA from 1 species